UUAAUGUUUCAUUCCUUUUUGGAACGGAAAUUACAUUAAAUUCAUUUGAACAAGGGUUUUGGAGUUUGCGAUGUCCUGUUCAAACGUGCAUCAUGUGUAUGUGAGAUAAGAAAAGAAACAGUUUGUGAGAGGAUUCUUGAUCUGCCAAGAGUUAGGGAGCUGCCACCAUUGCUUUCUGGCGAUGUACACUUCACAUGUGAGUAGCAGAGAUAACAAAGUGUGGAGCUGGAUGAACACAGCAGGCCAAGCAGCAUCUUAGGAGCACAAAAGCAACCUGCAUUCACUUCAUGUGCUAACCCUACUACCUGCACAUCGAGACGUUGGCUUGGAAUAUCUCUGGGAUGUGGAUGUUGAUGCAUACACUGUGCCUGAGGUGUCUUUCAGAAGGGUAGGAGUGAAAGCCCUACUAUCGAGAUGAAGACAGUUCAAGAUCACAAUCGGAAGCAUGGAGAAUAUCAAAACCAAAAUCAGCAAUUGGUGUAUCAAGGAAAACAUAAUCAAACGUGGAAUCUUCAACUGACUGUAGAAACCUUUACAAGAUUAUGGUACAUCAUUUCAAUCACAGUAUUGUCAAAGUGAUCUAACCUUGUUCAU